AGGGUGUAAACGCUGCAGACUUGGUGUUGGGAACCCUUCGGGGUGCUCAGUGCCGGAGAGAAGUUGUUAAGUCUGCUACUUGGGGAGUACGUCCGCAGGGAUGAAACUUAAAGGAAUUGGCGGGGGAGCACCGCAACGGGAGGAGCGUGCGGUUUAAUUGGAUUCAACACCGUAAAACUCACCAGGGAAGACUGUUACAUGAAGGCCGAGAUGAAGACUCUGCUAGAUUUUUCAGAGAGGAGGUGCAUGGCGUCAGUGACU
rnacentral:rRNA from 1 species